ACCGGCGCACGGGUGAGAAAAAAGUGGACAAUUUGCCCUUGAGUCCGGGAUAACCCGUCGAAAGACGAGCUAAUACCGGAUAAGACCACAGGAAGUUCGCUUCCAGAGGUAAAAGAUGGCCUCUGCUCCUGCAAGCUAUCACUCAUCGAGAAGUUCGCGGCCUAUCAGCUAGUUGGUGAGGUAACGGCCCACCAAGGCUAAGACGGGUAGCUGGUCUGAGAGGAUGGUCAGCCACACUGGGACUGAGACACGGCCCAGAGUCCUACGGGAUGCAGCAGUCAGGAAUAUUGCGCAAUGGAGGAAACUCUGACGCAGCGACGCCGCGUGGGUGAUGAAGGCCUUCGGGUCGUAAAGCCCUGUCGGAGGGGAAGAAAAGCGGUCUGGCUAAUAUCCAGGCCGCUCUUGACGGUACCCUCAAAGGAAGCACCGGCUAACUCCGUGCCAGCAGCCGCGGUAAGACGGAGGGUGCAAGCGUUGUUCGGAUUGACUGGGCGUAAAGGGCGUGUAGGCGGUUGGUCAAGUCUGGUGUGAAAGCCCGGGGCUCAGCUCCGGAAGUGCAUCGGA
rnacentral:rRNA from 1 species